rnacentral:rRNA from 1 species
UACGUAGGGUGCAAGCGUUAAUCGGAAUUACUGGGCGUAAAGCGUGCGCAGGCGGUGAUGUAAGUCAGAUGUGAAAUCCCUGGGCUCAACCUGGGAACUGCAUUUGAGACUGCAUGGCUAGAGUAUCGAAGAGGGAAGUGGAAUUUCCGGUGUAGCGGUGAAAUGCGUAGAUAUCGGAAGGAACACCAGUGGCGAAAGCGACUUCCUGGUCGAAUACUGACGUUCAUGUGCGAAAGCGUGGGGAGCAAACAGG